rnacentral:rRNA from 1 species
GUCAACGACCAUACCACGUUGAAAGCACCAGUUCUCGUCCGAUCACUGAAUUUAAGCAGCGCCGAGCUCGGUUAGUACUUGGAUGGGGGACCUUCUGGGAACACCGAGUGCUGUAGACG